rnacentral:misc_RNA from 1 species
GGAUGGGUUAAUGAGGCUGUGCCUCUACGUCCUUAAGUUCCUAUUAGCUGUUUGCUUCCUUAUGAAUGUGCAGGUUGAUGGCUAUUCUGUUAACUUCAACCUGAAAUCAAAUUCCAUUCAAAUUUAUAAUAAUUUAUAAAGACAUUAAUAGUAUUAGUAAGCGGUAUUAGUAUUUUGAGGGUUGUGUCAAGGCUCAGCAACUCUGUAUUGUUUCGAUACCGCUAUCUGUGUUCGUAUUUUUUUUAUUUAAACGCAACUUUAUUCAGCAAUAUCAAAAA